CCUGCUGAGGGGUGGCCGGGGGAGCGGGAGAGGGAGUGGGGCCGCCGCGCCCGUUGAUUUCCGCGGCCGCUGUGCGAGCCGGGGCUGUGCGCCGGGCGGAGUGCGCGAGGCCUGUGGAGGUGUCGGAGGUUAAGAGCUUUAAUUUGCCAUUGAGAGCUCGGACAUCCAGGUGGGUGCUCGUGCACUAAGACUGAACCCAAAGGAGGGCGGUGUUAAGUCCGGAGCAGGACAGGACGCGUUGCCGGCUCAGCCAUAGGAAAGGACAUUUUUCAGCUGUUAGCUCUGUAUUUCUUGUGCCAGUGCAAAUCUGGGGCAUUGAUAGUUAUUUAUUGAAACUUGAACACUUUUGGACGUUGCCUAGACCUUAUUUUUAUAGAUAACGCAUUAGUAGUGAUAGCAGUUCCUUGGCAAGAAGAGCUUUACUCCUUUUCUUUCACUGUGUACAUUCCAGUAGUGUUUGCUCUUUACAUAGUAUAGUAACAAUUAAGUGCUAUACAGAAAAGGGCUCAGAUUUGGGGUGGAUUCGCUAUAAAAUGGCAAUUCUAUUGUAUGCUAUUUGAAUAAAUCGCAGAACUACUACAGAGAUGUAGAUUUAUUUUUCAGUAGAGAUCUAUAUACAUUUCCUCUUGGUCUACUUUGUUCUGAAGAACCUUUCUGCAAUACUCCGGAGACGGAAAGAGUCAGUGCUGGAACGUGGAAUGCGCUUCUGGUUGGGAAGAACUGAGGCAGUUUAUUUAUUUGUCAAGAUUUCACUUGCCGAAGGAAACAGCACAGGGACUUUUUCCUCUGAUUGCUUCAACAUAAUCCUCAAUAAGUUUUGGAAAGCUGUAGAUCCCCUGCUCGGUGCUUCUGCCUGCCUUGCUUCCGUACAGCUGUGUGCUUUGAGCAUCCCCGCGCAGCCCUGGGACUGUCUGUUGGACCAUGGAGGCUGCCAGUAAGAGCAGAGCUCUUGAGCCCAUCCUACUGUGGAGCAGAGGCCACACCUCACCAACACCACACUGCUGGGGCCCGGACAUGGAGCUCAACAAGGGCAUCCUGCGGUAAGGACCAUGGCAUCCCAUGGUGCAGCCAUCUUUCUGGUCUGCUCAGCCUCACCAGCAGCUGCUGAACACCUGCGUUACCUCUCCUGGAGCAUGCACUUUGAAAUUCAAGAAGAGGGCCUGGGAUGGACUAGUGUUUCUUUCACUCUUAGUGCUGUCUGUUCCCAAAGUUCAGCGUGUUGUUUGGUGCGUGGUCACAGCACAGGUGUAAGGUGAUGUGACAGUGCAUAGGAAUUGGGGUGUUGCAAGCCAGGAUGCUCUGAGGGUAUUUCUUUCCUUGAUGCAUAUGCAAAUUAGGUAGAAGCCAUAUCAAUCAUUUUGUAACUGUUUAAUCACGUCAUCAGAACCUGUUCUGGGGUUUUAAGUGCUUGAGUGUAACGGUACCUUUUGCUGGUUUUAGGGUAGCUUUAGGAAUACCAGUGGGCAGAUUCUCAAACAAAAUGAUUCUCAUCUUUACAUGGGUUUGAAGAGUUCCUUACAGGCAUUCUGAGCUGGGUAGAUACAGUCAGUAGCAGCACCUGCUGAAUGAUAACCAAGCAAAAGGCAGUUUUCCCUAUGUGGCGGGCAUCACCCAUCUGCAAAGUUGCUGCAAGACUGAGAAGUUGAUAGAGGCUGUUUUUUCCCCACCCUUCUGUGCUUUCCCCAGUGGAAGAGGUCAUGCCCUGGGGAAAUCCACUGACGUGAGGUGCUCGCCUUCAUUGCACGUGUAGCAAGUGUACUUUUUGUUAAAGAACCUUGGAAAAAUACAUAGAAGUUAUGUGUGUGGGCAGCACCGUUUCAGUUCUUAGAUUAGCAGAUGAGCACAGAGCUGGUUGAAGACCUGGUGGCGGGGCAGAGGAAGGCUGUGCAGUGCUCAGUGCCUGCUCCUCACCCUUUGGUACAGCUCCAGCCAGAAUGAAUUGGCAGUGCCCAGGAAGCGACUGCAUCCUCAGACAAAGGCAAUCCCUGUUACCCCUACUGACUGUAACCAGCCAGUCCUUUCUGGUAUGUUGGUUUUAAAGCCAACAAGCACCCUGUGUUAUCCCUUUACCCUUCCAGCUUUCAGCACAAGCAGCCAUGUGUUGGUCUCUCAGAGAACUCAUAGACACACUCCCAUAGCAUCCUGCCCUAUGCUCUGCCUGACGUGGGGUUGGUUUUUCCUGGUGUUGCAAGAGGCUGCUACUCCACAGCAGUAUGCGAAUGGAUGACCUAAGCACUUCGUGGUCUGAAACACAUGGCAAGGCUUAGGCAUGCUGCUUGGGUUGCUUCAGGUGUUUGCAUCUUCCUUUACUGUCUUCUAAAAUGUAUCAGUACUCUGUUUUCUCUGUAGUGUCCCUAUAUCUUUAAUUAUGGUUUCUGUAGUUUAUUCUUAUUGUUAGUCAAUUCAUUGCAGUUUUUCCUCUCUGUAUCAGUUAGCUUUUGUUUUGAUUUUCUGCAUGAAUAUUGGUCACUGUGAGAUGCUCAGAGAGUGAUACCAGAUCCACUUACAUGACUUCGAUCUGUGUAGUUCAUUUUCAGUAACUGCAAGUAUGUAGGGUGCUUAAGUGCCACUGUAAAAAACAAUUCAGUUCAAGUUCUGUGGAGCCUUAGUGCAUUUUUCUCCAUCCUUCAAAGCUAUGCCAUGUUUUGUUGUACUUACGCAUGCUGUUGCCAGUCCCUACAAAGAUUCCCAUAGUGCGCUCAAGUCCUUCUGCUUUGGUUUUGCAUUCCAUAUUCAAACCCAUGGCAAAUGGACAUUGUUUCUUUGCCCUGGGCGUAGUCUCUGCUCCGGAGGUGGUGCAGUCCCUUCCUUUAUCUGUUCUGGCUGCUGGAAGUUUGCUGCUGUGAGUGCAGCUGUCUGCCAGCAGAUUUUGAAGGCGCUUGAGCCUUCAAAAGGCUCUUGAUUUUGAAGGCGCUUGAGUCUUGAUCUAGAUGUGUCUUCCUACCUAGGUGCUACAGCAAAGCAACUUGACUCGUAAAUGACAUUUGUUUCUUUGAAUCAUUAUCUGAUCUUUUCUGUCUUGAGUGGGAGGAGGAGGGUAUCUGUGGUUAAGGAGGUUUUGUUCACCCUUCCUUGGGCACAGAGAGGGGGAAGCCACCACCAGCACCACCCCUCUCUCUGCCACUAGUUCAGAUGAUGCCAUGACAAGAAAUAGAUGCGCUCCCCAGUGCCUCAGGCAGUGGCAUCUCGGUGUCUUUGGCUAUCCAGGUAGUCAGUGUGGCUGGGGAGUGGUUCUUGCAGCUUCCGGCGUGGCUUGGGGCAGCCCACUUGGCUGGCCUUAGGAGUGGAUUCCCAGACACAAAUGCUCUUUCUGCUCUUGAGGACUGUAGAUCUGUAGUAGUUGUGCAUCUCCAUUUAGUGGAAGGGCUGAUUCUGGUGGUUGAUUUCUUGUGAACAGCAGCGGGUAGUCUCGCAAGAGAUUAGUACCUCAGGAGAUUUGGACUCUUUGCUGCAUAUCGUAAAUCACUGUUGAAUAUUGUACACUCUUGAAAAAAACAGAGUGGCCAUCUAAGCCUUUUCACAUUGGUUUGUGUUUAUGUCAUUACUGACAUAAGUCAUGAGCUGCUCUGCUAUUUUAUUUAGUUAUCUCGCUGAAUGUGUCCAUCUCACUUCUGAGAAAGCAGUGGUCUCCCCAAGUUAAGCCCCUGGGCAUUCUGCAGGAUGCACCUGUUAAAAGUGGAAAUGUUAUUUGGCAACUAAUUUCUAAUCAGUUAUUGUAUAGUAUUGUUCAGUGCUGUUUGAAGUGCAGAGGCGUAGUAUAUUUGAAUUGCUUGUUGUGCUGAAAAUAGGGACUUGGCUGCUACAAUGUGAAACUUAACUAUUUGAGUCCAGCAGCUUCUUGGAGAAACUUUCCCUGUAUCCAAAAUUAAUAAGCAAGAAAAAAUUAAUUUGCUUGUAACAUCUCAUCCUGCAAUACAUUUUAUUCAUUCUUCUGGAUUCUGAGCUGAAAAAGCAGGGAGUUACUUUUUUUUUUAUUUUUUUUUUUAUUUUUUUUUUUGUGCAGCGAUAACUGCUGCUGAAUGAUUUUGCCUCUUCCUUACCUGAUUCUCUAACUUUCUAAGUUUAGCAAGGAGGAAAAAAUGGAAUAUGACAUCUUUGUGUACAUAUUAGACUGGCAUAAAACCACUUCAGUUUUCCAAGUAUUUUAUUUGCUGUUUUGCUGUAACCAGGGGAGACCACUGGGACGUUUCUGAGGCAGUUUUGCUACUCUUUGGCCAUUUUAUCUGGUCAGUGUUGUGUGCAGUGACUGUGAGCAUUCCAGCACAGGUGUAUGGUAACACUCAUCACUUUCAUGCUUCUGUGAAUAUUUUGGAAGACCUGCAUCAGCAGAAAAGGCCUUGAACAGAAAGAUUUCACUGUGCAUAACAAUCCUGCAAAUGGUGACUGACUUCUUGGAAUCCACAGUCACUUGCUGUGGUGCUGUAUCAGGAUUCUGCACGCUGCUUGUUGUGAAAAAAGGCAGAACUUCACCUUUCUUAUAAACUAUUUAGUCUUGUCACAAAAAGUGAAACUGUACUGAGAAAGUGUUAAGGGAUUAUAUCUGAAUUUAUAAAGACUUAGGCCAUUAUGGUACAUGAUGGUAGAUGAAAGAUCUUGUUAAUUCUCAGUUACUCCUGUCCUCUGGUGUAAGAGGUCUCUCUCCUCAGACUGCUUAGGAAGCGGCUUGCAGCUAUUUGUGCUGUGAAACUUCUCUCUUCAUAGUGGCUGACAGUGGCUCUGAGGUGGGACAGGGGUGACUUCUGCAUGGAGAGGCCAUGUUUGACAAACUAAGGAUUUGUUCUGUGAAGUGGUGGGAAGAUUAAAUAAUGAUUCCAGGGGUGUGGCCCUAAAUAAUUACCUGCCUGCCAUUUGCUUUUGCGUGUGCCAUCAACAGGUCUGCAUCCAUAGCACAGCUAGUUGUGAGUUCAGUUCUGCUCUGGGUUCUCUACUAGUAACAAACAUGGUCUGCAGUAGAUUAAUAAACCUAUCUGCUGGUUUUUCUGGAUAAAUUAUGAUUUCUGUAGGAAUGCUUUGGAACAACAGUUGACUAUGAAGCCCUGCUAACACAAAAAUAACAGGUGUGCUAGCCCACUGCUGGAUUCUGGCAUCUAGCACGCUUCUGAGAAGACUUACCUCUACUGCUACUUACUGAUUAAAACCUAGUUCAGAGCGGAAUUGUAAGCCACCGAAAUAAGGUCCAUAGAGCCUUGCUGUAUCCACAACAAACCCUCCAUCCCAUCACAGAAAAUAUCUUGGAUUGCAGUCUUUAUUUAUUGUUUAUUUUUUCAAUUGAUCAAUUGGAAAAUCUUUCUGCAAAGUACCUUAAAGCAUCUUUUUCACCUGCAGAAGGGUAUGCUGCCCGACUUCCACUGGCAAAUAGGUGGAGAAUACUGAAACUAUUAAAACUCAGGCUUUUCACUGUGCCCUUAUUCUUACGCUGUGGACAGUCAAAAAAUCCUAACCAGGAACUUGAAAAUUGCAGAACUGUUUGAUACCGUUUUCCUGUCCUCUCCAGAAAACUUCUCACCACCAGGAAUGCAUGGCCCUCCUGUCUAACAAAAAGGCUGACUUUUAAGAACGGAUAGCCCUUGAAAAAAGCUUAUGAAGAUAAGUCUUAUGGCUCGCACUGGGCCUUUUGAGAGAUUGCAUGUUGAGCUUCAGAGCUUUUUUUUUCCCUCUUCUGUAUCAUAAACCUUCAGACUUUCUUGUGACACUGGACACAAGCAGCGUGGUGGUAUAAAGUUAACAGACAGCUCAGGAGAGCCUGUUUAGGAUAUCCUUCCUUUCUUCCCUGGAAACUUUGAAUGACACUAACAGAACAUUUGCCUCUCCUGAUGAACAGAAUCAGGAACAGAACUCUUGAUUUUUUUUCCAUUACUAGCUCGUUACCAGUUCAAACCAUUUUUUGCCUGUUACUAAAACGGUAUGGCAAGUCCUUGUGUUGUUUGAAAGUCCUGUGCAUGCUGUAACUGAAAUCACAGCACAGGCUGGUAUAUCUGUGGUCUGUUUGUGCUAUACAGUAUGAUAUCAUGCUCCCAGCAGGCCAACAGCAUGCAUUGUCCUUUUUUUUUUAUUCCUUUCUCCCUGGGAAUAGUUAGAUACUGAUAGGUGGAGAAACCAGCAACAGUAAAAAAAAUAAAAAAGCAAGGAGUCCAAGGAUGGAAUAUAGUCAUCUACAAGAGAUUAUUUCAUGGUAAUAUUUAUUGUGCAGUAAAAUAGGGAGAAUUAGAAUUGCUCUCCAGAAUGCAUUUAUCUUGUUUUUGUAUUACUGCUUAAAUGUCUUCUAAACUUGUCCUCUUUGGAAGCUGUGUCCCUCUCUGUUUUGCCUGAUGAGCAGUAAUUUCACACUUACCCUUAUUUAUUUAAAGCCAUGGUAACCACCAUACUGAAAUGUCAUCAGCUACAGUCCAGGUCUGAACGCUGGCUGAUGAUGCAAAGGUCUGCUCUCUAAUAAAAAGAGGCUCAUGAAGGACAAGUUCCAAAAGGCAGUUACGCCCUGGCUUCAAGCAUUUGCUCUAAUUUCAAGGCUUUCCCAUGUGGUGUUGCUCAAUAUGUAGCAAAACAAGUUCUUGCAAGUCCCCUGAGCGUUCCUCUCUGUGUAACAGAUUAGAUAUUCACGCUUCAUUAAUUUUUUUCUCCUUUCCUCUGUCUGUCCAGCCCCCAAAAUAAAACCAGAACAAAAGACCUAUUACAAGCAAAUAGUGGAGAAUUGCUUCUCUUGUUGCAAUGUACUGUUUAUUGAUGAUGGAGACACUUAGGGCAGUUGUGUCACCACAUUCAGUGUAAACAUUUAUUUACAGGAGUGAUUUUGCUUUGGUUGCAGUAGGGGUCAAAGAGGAGGGAAUAAGUGUUGCAAUACAGUAUUGUGCAAUUCCUGGCUUUCAAACUGAAAAUGAUGAGCAAGCCUGCAUAGGCCUCUCACCCACCUAAAUCUGGCCGAUGAUUCUUACCACACCCACUCUUCUUAAUUAGGAAUGGGUCUACGGGCUUUUUAAGGUCAAAAGGAGAGAAGAGUAGAGACCUUAAGGGAUGUUCUACUGUGAAAGCAAAGAGUGGGCCUGCACUCUGUGAAAACAAGUUUGUCUGUUAGAUUACCUCUAGUUUAUGCUGUCUGAAGGUAAACCUUAGGAUCCCUGAGCAGGUUCCCACCAGCAAACACAGCUGGCUCUCUGUUUCGGAACAAGUCGUGUUGGUAAAGUGGCAUUUCAGCUUCCUUAUUUCUUAGAUUGUGGAGCUGAAGGGCAUUCUUCCAGGACAGUUUCUUUUUUUUUUUGGAGCUGCUCAUCUGAGGCUUGCUUCUUCCUUCUGCAAUUUCUGCCUAGGAUGAAGAUCCUCCUGAGGUUUAGGGGCCCACAUAUGUGCCCUCACAGUAUGGUGUUCGUGAUGGCUCAUGCCGUGUCACUCGGGUAUCCAUGAGAAGGGAGAAGCUCUGGAUGGGUGCAGGCUAGGCAAGCAGAAAUCCAUCAUUCUUUGAGCAGUAUGUCUUUCAGACCACUUGGCUACAUCAGUUGAGUAGAGAUCUUCCAUCAGCUAAGAAUGACAGUUGGGCCCAGCUUUGGGAGCACUCCGUGUUUUCUGUUGUUUCUUGCUCAAUGACCAUGUAGAAAAUACUUACUCGCAGCAACAUGAGCCUUGCAAUAUGGUGUCUUAGGGUAGCUGCUGGGGCUGCUCACGUCCUGUGGUCCUCUCUUGCAUGAUCAACAUACCCAGGGGACCUCUAGAAAAGGAGAAGCAGCCCCUCCCUACUGGUUAGCCACCAGCAUCCCCGAGCUCUGUUUCUGUCCAAAAGGAGAAGUAUGAGCGAAAUGUCACUUCCUACAACUCUGAUGUUCAAACUGGUUCUUCCUAGGCCUUUGGGCAUGGCACUGAAACGUACUUGUUCAGGAUAGCUGUUCAAAACAAAAGGUGGAGACAGAGCAGCUCAGAUUUGCCUCUGCUCUUGCAGUAGCUUAUGUGCAGAUAGUUAGUGGGUGGUUGUCUGCCUACAUGCUUUUCUGGAUUCUUAGAAGUUGGGUUUAUGUGCACCUUUGUAUUCUGCCUUAUUAAAUUAGCUGGCACAGAGGAAUCCUCUGAAAUACCCUUCCAAAAUGAAGAAUUUUUUAAAACUACAGUAUUUGAGUAGGUGAAAAAAAAAAUCAAAAACCUCACAAAACCCUACUUUGAAUGGAUUCAGAAAUACUUCUGCUUUUUCUUUUAAGUCUGAUUAUUUGGGGGAACUGUUCAAAUAGGUGUGCUGGCAAGCAUAUUGCACACAGACUGAGGUAAUCAUAGCAAAACAAAAUUCAGUAGCUACUGAUUGGCUGGAUUUGGUCAGGAGAGGUUUAUCAAGGAUGCCUCUGACAGCUUUUUUUCUGAUGUGAUUAUUUUUUUACAUAAAUAGAAGCUAUAGGGCUUAAUAAUAUACAACUGAGGAUUAUGUCCAUUGUAUUUUUUUAUGUUACUUUAACGAACUAGGUAGUACUAUAAUCAAAAUGCUUAUUUCUGAAACAAAGUGGACAAUAUUGUUUGGCAACUUGCACUUGAUUAAAUGUAAAACAUUUUCUUAAUUUAGUGAUGUGUUUAGGAGAAUACUGUAACUUACUGAAUAUACAACGGUGAUAACUGUGUUUACAAUAACUUUACAAUUCCUACUGUUCAGCAGUAGCCAACUUGUUUAAGAAUUAAAAGUAAGGCAUACUGCAGCUGUCAAUCUUGGAAAAAUUAAUGCAAUCCUGCUACCACUAGAUACUGUGGGAUGGAUACCGUGGGUUUAAACGGCAGCGGAAUUGUAUUCCAAGUCUCUGUCUUAAGUGCUUAUGACUAAAAGGCGACUUGCCUUGUGCUCAUUUAUGUAUUCCUGUGUGUAGUACAUCAGUUAGAAAUCUGUUAAUGGCUGGUUUGUAACACUAGGACCUUUAUGGGGAUCACAGUGGGAUUUUUGUUUGUUUGUUUUUGUUUGUUUAUGAUCAGAGAUUUAGACAUUUUGGAAUGUAUAACAUUUAUCCUUGUGCUGGAACUGUUUACAUGCAAAAAGGUAUUUAUGAUUUUUUGCAAAAUGCAAUGUGCAAUUUUGUACACGUGUUUUAAACUAAAGAGUUUAUAAGGAAGAUAUUGUAUGUACAGUACUUGGACAUGAGUAUUAUUUCUUUGAUAUAAAUAUCUAGAGGAAAAUUAAAGUUGCUUUAUAUUCAUA